GGAUUCCCCUAGUAACUGCGAGUGAAGCGGGAAAAGCUCAAAUUUAAAAUCUGUCAGUCUUUGACUGUCCGAGUUGUAAUCUAGAGAAGUGUUAUCCGCGCUGGACCGUGUACAAGUCUCCUGGAAUGGAGCGUCAUAGAGGGUGAGAAUCCCGUCUUUGACACGGACUGCCAGGGCUCUGUGAUGCGCUCUCAAAGAGUCGAGUUGUUUGGGAAUGCAGCUCAAAAUGGGUGGUAAAUUCCAUCUAAAGCUAAAUAUUGGCGAGAGACCGAUAGCGAACAAGUACCGUGAGGGAAAGAUGAAAAGAACUUUGGAAAGAGAGUUAAACAGUACGUGAAAUUGCUGAAAGGGAAACGCUUGAAGUCAGUCGCGUUGUCCAGGGAUCAACCUUGCUUUUGCUUGGUGUACUUUCUGGUUGACGGGUCAGCAUCAAUUUUGACUGUUGGAAAAAGGUCAAGGGAAUGUGGCAUCUUCGGAUGUGUUAUAGCCCUUGGUUGCAUACAAUGGUUGGGAUUGAGGAACUCAGCACGCCGCAAGGCCGGGUAUUAACCACGUACGUGCUUAGGAUGCUGGCAUAAUGGCUUUAAUCGACCCGUCUUGAAACACGGACCAAGGAGUCUAACAUGCGUGCGAGUGUUUGGGUGGAAAACUCGAGCGCGUAAUGAAAGUGAAAGUUGAGAUCCCUGUCGUGGGGAGCAUCGACGCCCGGACCAGACCUUUUGUGACGGUUCCGCGGUAGAGCAUGUAUGUUGGGACCCGAAAGAUGGUGAACUAUGCCUGAAUAGGGUGAAGCCAGAGGAAACUCUGGUGGAGGCUCGUAGCGAUUCUGACGUGCAAAUCGAUCGUCAAAUUUGGGUAUAGGGGCGAAAGACUAAUCGA
rnacentral:rRNA from 2 species